rnacentral:rRNA from 1 species
GCAUAUCAAGAAGCGGAGGAAAAGAAACCAACAGGGAUUGCCCUAGUAACGGCGAGUGAAGCGGCAACAGCUCAAAUUUGAAAUCUGGCUUCGGCCCGAGUUGUAAUUUGCAGAGGAAGCUUUGUGCGCGGCACCAACUGAGUCCCCUGGAACGGGGCGCCACAGAGGGUGAGAGCCCCGUAUAGUUGGACGCCUAGCACGUGUAAAGCUCCUUCGACGAGUCGAGUAGUUUGGGAAUGCUGCUCAAAAUGGGAGGUAAAUUUCUUCUAAAGCUAAAUACCGGCCAGAGACCGAUAGCGCACAAGUAGAGUGAUCGAAAGAUGAAAAGCACUUUGAAAAGAGGGUUAAAUAGCACGUGAAAUUGUUGAAAGGGAAGCGCUUGUGACCAGACUUGCGCCCGGCGGAUCAUCCGGUGUUCUCACCGGUGCACUCCGCCGGGCGCAGGCCAGCAUCGGUUCUCGCGGGGGGACAAAGGUCCCGGGAACGUAGCUCCUCCGGGAGUGUUAUAGCCCGGGGCGUCAUGCCCUCAGCGGGGACCGAGGACCGCGCUUUUGCAAGGAUGCUGGCGUAAUGGUCAUCAGCGACCCGUCUUGAAACACGGACCAAGGAGUCAAGGUUUUGCGCGAGUGUUUGGGUGUAAAACCCGCACGCGUAAUGAAAGUGAACGUAGGUGAGAGCUUCGGCGCAUCAUCGACCGAUCCUGAUGUUUUCGGAUGGAUUUGAGUAGGAGCGUUAAGCCUUGGACCCGAAAGAUGGUGAACUAUGCUUGGAUAGGGUGAAGCCAGAGGAAACUCUGGUGGAGGCUCGCAGCGGUUCUGACGUGCAAAUCGAUCGUCAAAUCUGAGCAUGGGGGGCGAAAGACUAAUCGAACCAUCUAGUAGCUGGUUACCGCCGAAG